rnacentral:rRNA from 1 species
UACGUAGGGGGCAAGCGUUGUCCGGAAUUAUUGGGCGUAAAGAGCGUGUAGGCGGUCCGGUAAGUCAGCUGUGAAAGUCAAGGGCUCAACCCUUGAAUGCCGGUUGAUACUGUCGGGCUAGAGUCCGGAAGAGGCGAGUGGAAUUCCCGGUGUAGCGGUGAAAUGCGCAGAUAUCGGGAGGAACACCCGUGGCGAAGGCGGCUUUCUGGGACGGUACUGACGCUGAGACGCGAAAGCGUGGGGAGCGAACAGG